UUAGUGGCAGCAGGGAUAGCUGAACGUUUUGAUAUAAGAUUUGUGUAGGUGGGCCUGAAAAUAAGGGAGUGGUGGCAGUUUAGAAAUCAUGUCCUGAUUUUUCAGCUUUUGCCAGCUCCCACUCUAGCUUUGCCAUUCAUUACUAUGGGACAAAUUGCGCCACAAAAACGACGAUAUUCCGUGAACCAUUCGGCGAAACGUUCCACAAAGUAAUAGCAAUCCGAUCGGGAACAAUCUGCACGUUU
rnacentral:lncRNA from 1 species